rnacentral:rRNA from 1 species
GUUGCUCGGAAUUAUUGGGCGUAAAGCGCACGUAGGCGGCUUAGCAAGUCGGAUGUGAAAUCCCUCGGCUCAACCAAGGAAGUGCAUCCGAAACUGCUGAGCUUGAGUACUUAAGAGGAUCGCGGAAUUCCCGGUGUAGAGGUGAAAUUCGUAGAUAUCGGGAGGAACACCAGUGGCGAAGGCGGCGAUCUGGGAAGAUACUGACGCUGAGGUGCGAAAGCGUGGGGAGCAAACAGG